GAUGAACGCUGGCGGCGUGCCUAAUACAUGCAAGUCGAGCGAACGGACGAGAAGCUUGCUUCUCUGAUGUUAGCGGCGGACGGGUGAGUAACACGUGGAUAACCUACCUAUAAGACUGGGAUAACUUCGGGAAACCGGAGCUAAUACCGGAUAAUAUUUUGAACCGCAUGGUUCAAAAGUGAAAGACGGUCUUGCUGUCACUUAUAGAUGGAUCCGCGCUGCAUUAGCUAGUUGGUAAGGUAACGGCUUACCAAGGCAACGAUGCAUAGCCGACCUGAGAGGGGGAUCGGCCACACUGGAACUGAGACGCGGUCCAGACUCCUACGGGAGGCAGCAGUAGGGAAUCUUCCGCAAUGGGCGAGAGCCUGACGGAGCAACGCCGCGUGAGUGAUGAAGGUCUUCGGAUCGUAAAACUCUGUUAUUAGGGAAGAACAUAUGUGUAAGUAACUGUGCACAUCGUGACGGUACCUAAUCAGAAAGCCACGGCUAACUACGUG
rnacentral:rRNA from 1 species